GUGCACCAGUCGCGAAAACUUCACACUGUGCGAAAGCACGAUGAGGGAAUCCCAAGUGCUUGCACGUAAGUGUAAGCUGUUUCUCUGUCUAAAACGCAGAGAGAGUAAGGGCAGGGUAAGACGGGUGCCAGCCGCCGCGGUAAUACCUGCAGCUCAAGUGGUGACCGUUAUUAUUGGGCCUAAAACGUCCGUAGCCGGUUUAAUAAAUGCCUGGGUAAAUUGUGUAGCUUAACUAUACGAAUUCCGGGUAGAUUGUUAAACUUGAGACCGGGAGAAGUUAGAGGUACUCCUGGGGUAGAGGUGAAUUCUGUAAUCCUAGGGGGACCACCAGUGGCGAAGGCGUCUAACUAGAACGGGUCUGACGGUGAGGGACGAAGCCCUGGGGCGCAAACGGGAUUAGAUACCCGUGUAGU
rnacentral:rRNA from 1 species